AUCAAGGCCAAGGAAUGGAACUCAUAAACUUUUAUAGAGAAAAUACUGGAGCUGGAUCUUGAAGGAGAUUUGGAGUCCGCUAGGGAUGGUAUUGGGGAUGAACGCGGAAGCAUGAUGACAGGCAGAAGGAACACGUACAAUGAGGCAUAAAACUCGUAACAUAGGCAGGGCUCCUCAGGAUACUUGGAAUGUAGGGAAGGGGCUGGAAGUAAUGUUGGAAAAGUAAACGGAGGACAAAUAAUGAAGCGUCUUCAUGCCAUGCUAAGGGUUUGGAUUUUAUCAAACAGGGUACAAGAGCCAUGGAAAGCUUUUAGGUAGGAGAUUAAGAAUCAGAUUUGCAUUUAGAAAAACCACAGUGGCAGUAGAAUUAAUUCAGUUAAUUCCUUCAAGAGGAAGACAACUAGGAGGUGGACUCGGAAAACCAUCGCAAUAUUCUAUAUGAAAGAGAGGCCUGAACCAAUGCAGGAGCGAGAUGGAUGAAUGGGGAUGGACAGCUGGGCCCAGGAGUGCAGUAUUUAGGAACCUAGGCACUUCCCUUGACCACCCCACUCCUAGCCCGGAAGCCGGGAAUGGACCAGAUGACCUUGUGAGAUUCCCUUUGGCCCGGGGCAGCAGAGUGCUGGCGUCCCAAGCUUGGAAGAGGGUAGCUGUCUAAGAAAAAAUGGACACAUUAUACAAAUUCUACCUCAUCAUCAUCAUCACCACCACCACCGUCAUCAGCACCAUCAUCAACUUCAUCAUCAUCACAAAGACAGCUAAUGCUUUCAUAGAACCUAUUAGGUGCCAGGGAUGAACUCACUCAAAUGUCAGAGCUCUUGAUUUGAGAUAUUUUUAACCCUGACUUUGAAGCAAAGAAACCGAAGUACAGAGAAAAUUGAGUGACUUGUCCAGGGUCAUGCAGCCGGCACCCAAACAGCCUUUAUCCAGGGAUCGCUGGCUUGUCGCUACACCACGCUUCUGUAUACUACACUAACCUGCCUCUCGCUACACAUGUUCUGUUGUUUUGGGUUUUCAUUAUUACAGAACUACCCCCGAACUUCAUAGCUUAAAGCAACAACCAUUUUCUCCUUGUCAGUGAUUCUGUGGGUCAGGAGUCCCAAUACAGUAUAGAUGGCUUGUCUCCGCAUAGGAUGUCUGGAACGUCUACGUACAUAACUCAAAACAGCAGGGCCUGGUCAGGAUGGCUUGACUGGGCCCUUGUGUCUGGGGGCCCAGUUCCUUAUUGUCUGCUAGGCUCCCAGCUUCUCCUCCACAUAACCUUUCCAUCCAGGUAACUAGAGCUUCUUCGGAGCGUGGUGGUCUCAGAGUGAUCGGACUUCUUCCAUGGUGGCUGGCCGCCCCUGAGAGAAUGCGGACACUUCCACACUUCGGGAACUAAGCACAGUGUUAUUUCUACCACAUUCUAGUAGCCAAAGGAAGGCAAGAGACCAGACCAGUUUCAAGAGGAGAAAUAACAGACUCCACUCCUAGAUGAAUGAAGUGGUAUGCACAUACACUGAAAGAAUUAAUUCAUGGUGGCCAACUUUGGAGACUACCACACCACUUACAUAUAGAAUAUAAAAAUA